GCGGCANUCCUUCACAUGGAGAUAAAACGGUAACGGGCCUUCGGGCGCCGACGAGUGGCGAAUGNGCGAGUAACGCAUCAAAACGUGCCCAGUGGUGGGGGAUAGCCCAGCGAAAGCCGGAUUAAUACCGCAUACGACCCACGGGUGAAAGCGGGGGACCCUUUGGGGCCUCGCGCCAUUGGAGCGGCCGAUGUCAGAUUAGGUAGUUGGUGGGGUAAAGGCCUACCAAGCCGACGAUCUGUAGCUGGUCUGAGAGGACGACCAGCCACACUGGGACUGAGACACGGCCCAGACUCCUACGGGAGGCAGCAGUGGG
rnacentral:rRNA from 1 species